rnacentral:misc_RNA from 1 species
AGUCGUAACAAGGUUUCCGUAGGUGAACCUGCGGAAGGAUCAUUACUAAAUCCACGAUGAUAACGCUGUUGAACCGUUGUGCGCGGGGUGCGCGGAGGGAAUUGCGAGGUUGCGAGAUUGCGAGAUUGCGAGAUUUCCGACGCGCACCGACACGCCACACACACGCUGAUGUACGAAUGGACAGUGAUUUUAUUAUUAUAUCAUAAAAAGCACAACUUUUAACAAUGGAUCUCUUGGCUCUU